rnacentral:rRNA from 1 species
GACGGAGGGGGCUAGCGUUGUUCGGAAUCAUUGGGCGUAAAGGGCGCGUAGGCGGCCGAUCAAGUCGGAGGUGAAAUCCCUCGGCUCAACUGAGGAACUGCCUUCGAUACUGUUCGGCUUGAGUCCUGGAGAGGGUAGCGGAAUUCCCGGUGUAGCGGUGAAAUGCGUAGAGACCGGGAAGAACACCAGUGGCGAAGGCGGCUUCCUGGACAGGUACUGACGCUGAAGCGCGAAAGCUAGGGGAGCAAACAGG